UUGAGAGAUCGAGGAGUGCCCGAAAGGGAGCCUGAACACAGGUGCUGCAUGGCUGUCGUCAGCUCGUGGGUUCGUGAGAUGUUGGGUUAAGUCCCGCAACGAGCGCAAACCCCUACCCAUAAGGGCCAUGAGGAAAUGACGGGCACUCUAAUGAGACUCCGGUGACAAACCGGAGGAAGGUGGGGAUGAUCAGUCCUCGCCCUUAUGGGUAGGGCUCACACGUCAUACAAUGGUACAUACAGAGGGCCGCCACGCGAGGGGGAGCUAAUCCCAGAAAGUGUAUCGUAGUCCGGAUCGCAGUCUGCAACUCGACUGCGUGAAGUUGGAAUCGGGCUAGUAAUCGCGGAUCAGCUUCUUCGCGUUGAAUACGUUCCCGGGUCUUGUACACACCGCCCGU
rnacentral:rRNA from 1 species